UACAGAGGGGGCAAGCGUUAUUCGGAAUUAUUGGGCGUAAAGGGCGCGUAGGCGGCCUGGCAAGUGGAAGGUGAAAUCCCUCGGCUUAACCGAGGAACUGCCCUCCAAACUGCUUGGCUUGAGUCCGGGAGAGGUGAGUGGAAUUCCUGGUGUAGCGGUGAAAUGCGCAGAUAUCAGGAAGAACACCCGUGGCGAAGGCGGCUCUCUGGGACGGUACUGACGCUGAGACGCGAAAGCGUGGGGAGCGAACAGG
rnacentral:rRNA from 1 species